rnacentral:rRNA from 1 species
UGAGGAAUAUUGGUCAAUGGGCGGGAGCCUGAACCAGCCAAGUAGCGUGCAGGAUGACGGCCCUAUGGGUUGUAAACUGCUUUUGCGCGGGGAUAAAGUGCGCCACGUGUGGCUCAUUGCAGGUACCGCGCGAAUAAGGACCGGCUAAUUCCGUGCCAGCAGCCGCGGUAAUACGGAAGGUCCGGGCGUUAUCCGGAUUCAUUGGGUUUAAAGGGAGCACAGGCCGCCCCUUAAGCGUGUUGUGAAAUGCCGCGGCUCAACCGUGGCACUGCAGCGCGAACUGGGGGCUUGAGUGCGCGCAGCGCAGGCGGAACUCGUGGUGUAGCGAGUAG